AGGUCAAGCUACAAAGGGCGCAUGGUGAAUGCCUUGGCAUCAGGAGCCGAUGAAGGACGUGAUAAGCUGCGAUAAGCUUCGGGUAGGCGCACAUAGCCUGAGAUCCGAAGAUCUCCGAAUGAGGAAACUCACAUGGGAAACCCCAUGUAUCAUUAAGUGAAUACAUAGCUUAAUGAAGGUAACCCAGGGAACUGAAACAUCUAAGUACCUGGAGGAAGAGAAAGAAAAAUCGAUUUUCUUAGUAGCGGCGAGCGAAAGGGAAAGAGCCCAAACCGGAAACUUGUUUCCGGGGUUGUGGACAUAGCAUCAAAGUGGAGGCUAUUGUAACUGAAGAGAACUGGAAAGUUCCACCGUAGAAGGUAAUAGUCCUGUAAGUGAAACGAGAAGACCACGAGUUAUGAUCCAGAGUACCACGAGACACGUGAAACCUUGUGGGAAGCAGGGAGGACCACCUCCCAAGGCUAAAUACUACCUGAUGACCGAUAGUGAAGCAGUACCGUGAGGGAAAGGUGAAAAGAACCCCGGGAGGGGAGUGAAAUAGAACCUGAAACCGUGUGCCUACAACCGCUCAGAGCCCCUUAUGAGGGUGAUGAGGUGCUUUUUGUAGAACGAGCCAACGAGUUACGGUAUGUAGCAAGGUUAAGUACUUAAGGUACGGAGCCGAAGGGAAACCGAGUCUGAAUAGGGCGACUAGUUGCAUGCCGUAGACCCGAAACCGGGUGACCUAUCCAUGGCCAGGUUGAAGCGAGGGUAAAACCUCGUGGAGGACCGAACCACGUUGCUGUUGAAAAAGCAUGGGAUGAGCUGUGGAUAGCGGAGAAAUUCCAAUCGAACCCGGAGAUAGCUGGUUCUCUCCGAAAUAGCUUUAGGGCUAGCGUCGAGUAUGAGUAGUGGAGGUAGAGCACUGAAUGGGCUAGGGGGCAUAGCGCUUACCGAACCUUAUCAAACUCCGAAUGCCACAUACUUUGAGCUCGGCAGUCAGACUACGAAUGAUAAGAUCCGUGGUCAAAAGGGAAACAGCCCAGAUCGUCAGCUAAGGUCCCAAAGUGUAAGUUAAGUGGGAAAGGAUGUGAGAUUUCUAAGACAACUAGGAUGUUGGCUUAGAAGCAGCCAUUCAUUAAAAGAGUGCGUAAUAGCUCACUAGUCGAGAGAUCUUGCGCCGAAAAUGUAACGGGGCUAAACUUACCACCGAAGCUACGGGCUUGAACAUAGUUCAAGCGGUAGGAGAGCGUCGUAACCGGGCUGAAGUCGUACCGUAAGGAGCGGUGGACUGGUUACGAGUGAGAAUGUUGGCAUCAGUAGCGAGAUGUGGGUGAGAAUCCCACAGGCCGAAAACCUAAGGUUUCCUCAGGAAGGUUCGUCCGCUGAGGGUUAGUCGGGACCUAAGCCGAGGCCGAAAGGCGUAGGUGAUGGACAACUGGUUGAUAUUCCAGUACCACUACCAUCGUUAUUAUCGAUGGCGUGACGCAGGAGGAUAGUGUGUGCUAGCUAUUGGAUGCUAGUCUAAGCGUUUAGGCAGUGAGAGUAGGCAAAUCCGCUCUCAUAAUGCUGAGGCGUGAUGGGGAAGGUUC
rnacentral:rRNA from 1 species